rnacentral:rRNA from 1 species
UACGUAGGGUGCAGGCGUUAAUCGGAAUUACUGGGCGUAAAGCGUGCGCAGGCGGUCUUUUAAGUCAGAUGUGAAAUCCCCGGGCUUAACCUGGGAACUGCGUUUGAAACUGGAAGGCUAGAGUGUGGCAGAGGGGGGUGGAAUUCCACGUGUAGCAGUGAAAUGCGUAGAUAUGUGGAGGAACACCGAUGGCGGAGGCAGCCCCCUGGGCUAACACUGACGCUCAUGCACGAAAGCGUGGGGAGCAAACAGG